UGAGGAACAUGACCUUCGGCGGGGGAUAGCCGGCCCAACGGCCGGGUAAUACCGCGUACGACCACAUGGGGACAUCCCUGAGUGGUGAAAGCAGCAAUGCGCCGAUGGAGUGCCUCGCGGCCUAUCAGCUAGUUGGUGAGGUAACGGCUCACCAAGGCAACGACGGGUAGCUGGUCUGAGAGGAUGGCCAGCCACAGUUGGGACUGAGACACCGGCCCAGACCUUCGUAACCGGGGAGG
rnacentral:rRNA from 1 species